GGGGAUUUAGCUCAGUGGCAGUGCGCCUGCCUUGCAAGCACAAGGUCCUAAAUUCAAUCCCCA
rnacentral:tRNA from 1 species